AUGACCUCCUCUCCCCCAACCCCACCGCCAGCGCCCCCACCUCACGCGCGGAUCCUCCUCCUUGCUGUGCCCUUGUGCUGGCCCCAAACCCUAGCUAGGGGCCCCCUUCUCCGGGCGCACGCGGCGCGGGGAGGGCUCCCUCUUGCCCACCGCCGAUGCAGACGGCCCGUUAGAGGUCCUGCUACUCGCUCCUCCGACCCUCCUGCUGCUGCUGCUAGUGCGGACCGACACCAUGGAGGCCGUCUGCAGGUGGGGAAGGACAGCGUGGCGCGCCUGGUGCACAAGCUCGAGGGUGCCGGCCUGCUCGUCGAGCCCGUCCACGGCGUCCCCGCCGAGUUCAUCAAGGUCAGUGCGACCGUCUUUUUUCCUUUUUCAGUUCAUUUUGCCAUGGCAUCCUAA
rnacentral:rRNA from 1 species